CAGCAUUAAACUCUCCCGAUCACCUUCCCAAUUCUUUUUUUCCUAUUAAAUUCUCAAGCAUUCUUAUCUUGCUUCCAUUUGGGAGUCAUUCAUGCCUGAAAUUUAUUUAAUAACAGCUACAUUUACCUUUAGCUAUUAAUGACUCUCGUUUUCCAUCAAAUGAUUGCCCAUUGGGAAUAAUUACUGCUGCGUUCGUUAAGUGACACCUAUGAUUUAAUUUAGUCGUGACUCAUUGCUAAACAAUAUUUCUUUUAUUUGUUUGCACUUUAUUGUUUGAGCCUUCACUUUACCGCUCAGUGAGGUCAAAGAGUGCUUAUGAUUAAUUUUUCCUUUUAAUACUCACCAGAGUUCUUUCUCUAUGGAUAUUUUAACCCAAUUAGUGCUCUCUUAAUUUAUAUUUUGCAGCUUAUAAUUUUAUAAUAUAAACUAGGAGUAAUUUGUCAAGUUUUGUGGAGUAGCAGGGGUCCAGGUAUUAUUUACUCACAAUGUUUGUUCCAGUUACUGUUAAGUAAGUUUUUAUUCUGGAUGUUUUACAGUAAAUAAAAAGCAAUAAAAAUCAAAAUAAUGGAAGCCAAGGAUGUUGGAAAUCCCAGGAAGAACAGUAGGAGCACCGUGGUGUGACCAGAGGAUUUCACACUUCAGCUCUGCCAAGCCCUGUUUUCUGGGGACACCCACGUUCCCAGGGGAGAAAACGUGCGUGCAGCAGCUACAACGAAGCAUCAACCUGUGCGAGACACGCAGCCACGCUUUGAGCACAUCGGAGCAGAGAUGCAGGAGAUCCACUCAUUUUCAAGACACUGACCAUGCCCACCUCACCAAUGCAAUUUCAGUAUCUCAGUUUCCAGGAGGGAAGAUGGUCUCAGAAGAGCUCAGCACGUGAUGUCCUCAGCGCCUGCAGGUGACUGGCACAAGGGGUUUCAUCCUGACCUUACAUCUGCAGUGUGGCUGAGGAGAAGUCUCGUGUCUCCUCCAGCUUUGAGCCCCUGACAAAUCGUUCCUGGAAGUGGUGAAACAAAUUGUACAACAUAUAUAGACAUUUAGAGGCCAUUAACCCUGCGACAUUAUGAGUUGGGUACAAAGUCCAUGUAUUCCUACAUUUUCACACAUCUAGGUUAGAAGCCAUCUUCUGUGAUCAAUAUAAAGAAAAAUCAUUAUCAUACAGUCACAGAAUAGUUUGGGUUGGAAGGGUCCUCAAAGCCCAUCCAGUUCCACCCCCUGCCAUGGGCAGGGACACCUCCCACUGGAUCAGGGGCUCCAAACCCCAUCCAACCUGGCCUUGAACCCCUCCAGGGAUGGGGCAGCACCACUGCUCUGGGCAACCUGUUCCAGGGCCUCCCCACCCUCACAGCAAAACAUUUCUCCCUAAGAUCUCAUCUCAAUCUCCCCUCUUGCAGCUGAAAACCAUCUUCCCUCAUUCUAUCCCUGCACUCCCUGAUCCAGAGCCCCUCCCCAGCUUCCCUGGAGCCCCUUUCAGCACUGGAAGCUGCUCUAAGGUCUCCCCAGAGCCUUCUCCAGGCUGAACCAUUUCUGUCUCUCUCUUAAUUCAUUAAAUUUUCAGUUUUCAAAGCAGCCCCGUCUCUCCUGUGCUCCAUCCGUUACAUUUUACAGAUUUCAGAACUUGGUUUCAAUACUUGGCACUACUCAAUUCAAGUCUGAGGUUGGAAAUAUCGAAUGCAUUAAGAAUACACCUACGUGGAGAUGGAUAUGUCUCUUUCAUUGGAAAUUCUGUAAUUUCAAACUGCAUUUUCGUUCCAGUUUGGAGCAAAAUGGCACAUGGAGAAAUUCAGCACUAGCUGAGAUGUUUUAACAGUUCUUUUAAGUUACUUGAAGCACUCUGUUGCCAUUUUGACAGUCUUCUUUCAUAUUCCUGUUGUAAUUUAUUGCAUCUAGUCAUAAUUUUCUUCGCAAAAAAUAUUUUGGAGAGAAAAAUGGAAAUGUGAAGUUUUUGUCACUUUAAAAUGGAACACUUCAGCCUGAUAUAUAUUUAUAAUUAGCAGGGCUGGAUCCAUGGUUGGACUCGAUCUUAAAGGUCUUUUCCAACUGAAACCAUUCUGUGAUUUGCAUGUUUGACUUUGCAUUCGGAAUACAAUGAGUAAAAUCCAACACGAUUCUGAUGAAAGCUUAGAUUUCAAUAAAACAGCAUUUUCUAAGAGGAAAAUGUAUGACAAUGGACAAUGUAUGACAAUGUAUGACAGCACGAUUCUGGACUGACUUGUUCUACUCCGUUUUGACUUGGUGACUCCUGCAAUCCUUUGCCUUAGCUUUGAUGUCACUUCAGUGAAGGUACAAGGUGGACAACUGCUCCUUGGAGGUGAUGUUCACCUCAAACCUUGUGUAUGCUUAGUCAUCGCCAGUGAUGGGCACAGGGUUUUGACCACCUCAGAGAAGCUCUGAGCUGGAUAAACCUGGGAAAUGAAACACCUCUUGCGCGUGGCUGGAUGGUUUGAGGUGCCCUGGGGAGCAGGGUAGAGGAUUUCAAUCUCCUGACCUUAAGGCUGGCUUGCACUUAUAUGAAUCCUUGCUAGAAGGAAAACUAAAAAGACCACUUUAAUAGAAUCAUUAAGAUUAAAAAAGACUUCUAAGCCCAUCCAGUCCAGCAAUACCAUUCCUACUAAACCAUGUCCUGAAGUGCCACAUACACACAUUUUUGAACACAUCCAGGGAAGGAGACUCCACCACUGCCCUGGGCAGCCUGUUGUUGAUAUUAUUGUUAAUAAUAAUAAUAAUAAU